GAGUUUGAUUAUGGCUCAGGAUGAACGCUAGCGGUGCGCCUAACACAUGCAAGUCGAGCGGAGUACUUGAGAAGCUUGCUUUUUAAGUACUUAGCGGCAAACGGGUGCGUAACACGUUGAUACUUCCCCCCAAGUCAGGGAUAGCCUGGAGAAAUCCAGAUUAAUACCGGAUAGUCCCGCAAGGGUAAAGGAGCAAUCCGCUCGGGGAAAGGUCUGCGGCCUAUCAGCUAGUUGGUGAGGUAAUAGCUCACCAAGGCAAUGACGGGUAGCUGGUCUGAGAGGACGGCCAGCCACAAUGGGACUGAGACACGGCCCAUACUCCUACGGGAGGCAGCAGUGAGGAAUCUUCCACAAUGGGCGAAAGCCUGAUGGAGCGACAACCGCGUGAAGGAUGAAGCCUUUGUUGGUGUAAA
rnacentral:rRNA from 1 species